UACGUAGGGGGCAAGCGUUGUCCGGAUUUAUUGGGCGUAAAGAGCGUGUAGGCGGUCAGAUAGGUCCGUUGUGAAAACUCGAGGCUCAACCUCGAGACGCCGAUGGAAACCAUCUGACUAGAGUCCGGAAGAGGAGAGUGGAAUUCCUGGUGUAGCGGUGAAAUGCGCAGAUAUCAGGAAGAACACCCGUGGCUAAGGCGGCUCUCUAGUACGGUACUGACGCUGAGACGCGAAAGCGUGGGGAGCGAACAGG
rnacentral:rRNA from 1 species